GCACUAGUGGCGGAACUGGCAGACGCGUACGAUUCAGAUUCGUAUGGGAUACCGUGCAGGUUCAAAUCCUGUCUAGUGCACCA
rnacentral:tRNA from 1 species